rnacentral:rRNA from 1 species
AUUGAACGCUGGCGGCAUGCCUUACACAUGCAAGUCGAACGGUAACGCGGGGCAACCUGGCGACGAGUGGCGAACGGGUGAGUAAUGUAUCGGAACGUGCCCAGUUGUGGGGGAUAACUGCUCGAAAGAGCAGCUAAUACCGCAUACGACCUGAGGGUGAAAGCGGGGGAUCGCAAGACCUCGCGCAAUUGGAGCGGCCGAUAUCAGAUUAGGUAGUUGGUGAAGUAAAGGCUCACCAAGCCGACGAUCUGUAGCUGGUCUGAGAGGACGACCAGCCACACUGGGACUGAGACACGGCCCAGACUCCUACGGGAGGCAGCAGUGGGGAAUUUUGGACAAUGGACGCAAGUCUGAUCCAGCCAUGCCGCGUGCGGGAAGAAGGCCUUCGGGUUGUAAACCGCUUUUGUCAGGGAAGAAACGCUCUGGGUUAAUACCUCGGGGUAAUGACGGUACCUGAAGAAUAAGCACCGGCUAACUACGUGCCAGCAGCCGCGGUAACAC